rnacentral:rRNA from 1 species
GAGGAAAAGAAACCAACAGGGAUUGCCUCAGUAACGGCGAGUGAAGCGGCAAAAGCUCAAAUUUGAAAUCUAGCACCUUCGGUGUUCGAGUUGUAAUUUGAAGAUGGUAACCUUGGGUUUGGCUCUUGUCUAUGUUCCUUGGAACAGGACGUCAUAGAGGGUGAGAAUCCCGUCUGAUGAGAUGCCCAUUCCUAUGUAAGGUGCUAUCGAAGAGUCGAGUUGUUUGGGAAUGCAGCUCUAAGUGGGUGGUAAAUUCCAUCUAAAGCUAAAUAUUGGCGAGAGACCGAUAGCGAACAAGUACAGUGAUGGAAAGAUGAAAAGAACUUUGAAAAGAGAGUGAAAAAGUACGUGAAAUUGUUGAAAGGGAAGGGCAUUAGAUCAGACUUGGUGUUUUACGAUUAUCUUCUCUUCUUGAGUUGUGCACUCGUAUUUCACUGGGCCAGCAUCGAUUCGGAUGGCAAGAUAAUGGCAGUUGAAUGUGGCUUCACUUCGGUGGAGUGUUAUAGCUUCUGCUGAUAUUGCCUGUCUGGAUCGAGGGCUGCGUCUUUGACU